AUUACAGGCACACGCCACCAUGCCCAGGAUUAUGACAAUGAUGGCAAGAUAUCUCUUGCAGACUUUGAAAAAGCAGUAAGAGAAGACAGACUUCUGUUGGAGGUAUUUGGACCAUGUUUACCAGAAGCAAAGAAUUGUCUUGAUUUUGAAACCCUGGCAUUCGGAAACAUCCUGACUUCUAAUGUUUCAAUGACUCAUUCAAUAAUUGUAUUAUAAUUAGAAACAGAUCCUGGUUGCCUAUUUUUAUUUAUAUUGUAAAGUUUCCAUAUUUGCUUCAGUUAAUUUACAUAUAAUUACUGCACAUGAGAGGUAAUGUUAUAAUGACAAGAAUAGUUUGCAACAUUAAGUAUGGAUCAAAAAAAGAAGAAAUGACCUGAGAUAAAUAGCUUGAAUGAAAUUACAAAGAAGAGUGCAUUAAAAAAUACCAGCAGUAAAAUCUCUUGAAGAAUUAAAAUGACAGGCUAAAAAUAAAAAAUAAAUGCUCUUUCCAGAAAAUACUAAUUUGCUGCUGGUACUCUAUAUUCUUCUUCUUUGUUUUAGUGGAUGACUUGUAUGCAUAUCUUUUGACUUGUCCUCUGGAAGUUUUGGCACAGAUGAAAUUACCUAAUUAAAGAAAAAAAACCAUUAAAACUUAGUUUCUAUAGUGCAUGAGUAAAUAAGCUAUUAGAAGAGGUAAGAUUAUAUCCAAUAGUUUAAUCCUUGACAUCACUUAGGCAGAGUUGGCCUAAGUUCAAGGUACAGCCUAUGAUCUAGGCACAGAGUGAAGUUUUCCAUUAAAUUUCUAAAGCUAUUUAAAAAGAAAAAAGAAAUUGGAGGAAGAAAAGUGAACAUACGCUCUACUUUAACAUUCCUUUAUAGAUCUAAAGUCACUUGUUAUUUUACAGAUACAGAUAGAGAUCCUGGUUUUGCAUUCUUGAAACAUUGAUAAUGUUUGAUAGAUUGGGGGGGAAUGAAACGUUUAGAGAAAUGAGCAGAAAGCAGUAUAAUCCUCAAUUUCCUAGGUGAAAAAGGAAAAGCAAACACACUAUCAGAAAAAGAAUGUACAAAAAGC